rnacentral:lncRNA from 1 species
CACCAUCGUGUUCUGCAGCCCAGCCAGUAACUCUGGUCAUGGAAUUCAGAGCCCAGACUGCUGCUCAUAACCCAGUUAGAACAGGAAUCCUGCAGCUAGCAGAGUCUCUCCGAGCCUAUUCCUACCAACCUCACAGAAAGGGGUGAGCGUGCCACAGGACACAUGAAGAGGUCAGGGGACAACUUGCGGGUGACCGUUCUCUCCUUCCACCGUGGGUUCCGGGGAUCACACUCAGGACUGGUGUGUAGAUACCAUCAUAAGCAGGUGUUACUUCCUCUGGACCCUCCAGGUCCUCAAUGGCACAGUUCCCUGAAAAAGAAAUGGAGGCUAAAGGAAGAAGCUUUAUCCCCCGAGUUAGCAUCGGCAGUGCUCCUUGUUCUGACUGUGGUUGUUAAGGACCAGUUCAGAUCCAGCACCUGAUUACAGUGGCGAUCACCAGUCCCUGAUUCGAAGGCGGGACAGGCCAGCUUGUUGUUGGACAGGACCAACCUCCUUGCUCACCUCUAUCUCUGACUUACUGCUCAGUACCAUGUUUGCAUUAGAAUCCUGUGUAUGUCUUGGUCUUUUCUUCUUUGUUUAUAUCUGUAGGUAUGUCUUGCUGAACACGAUCUUGGAGGGAGGAGUGUGUGCAUGGGAGAUACCGCAGCCCAAGCUUGAACAAGGGGAAGACCUGGCAACAGUCUUCUCCUCAGUCAGGCCUCUUACAGGUCCCACCAGGUUUCACAUUGCCCAACGUCCACAGUGCAAACCCUUGCAACACUGUGAAACUAUUUCCCAAGCACACAGAUUCUUUCAGCAUCUCCCCUUCACACUUGAUCGCCUUCUCCGAGAGUGAACAGUACUGUACCUGCUCGCUGGACAUGGGUAUUUUGUACUGUUCUCUCUUGAGGUCAUAGACAAACGUGCCCUUUAGCUUUGUAUGAGUACCACCUAGGGUUUCAUGCUGAAUGUUCCUCUAAUGAAAGGCAAAUGCGCAAAAACUGGGCAAGUGCAUUUCAAGGCUGAAGCCGCUGACUUGUCGGAGCGAUGUGAUGGGGUGUUUAUGUCCCUUCCUUGGCAGUGACUGCCAUUCCUGGGGAAAGACUUAGAGGGAUCCUUUGCUGACACAGUAUUAUUCCAAGGUUUGCCUGUGGCUUUGGUUUUUGUUGUUUUGUCAUGCGAGCUACAUUCCCAGACCUGCCUUUGAGGUCUUUGUAGACAUUGUCUCUUCCAUUUCUUAGGGAGUAUCUAUGUCUAGGAGAAAUAGUUCAAUUCUGUAAUGCUUAAUUUUCAUUGUCACCCUGCUUGGAUAGGAAUCACUAAAGGAGGAGCAUGAGUGGUGUCUGUCAAGGUGGUGUCAGAAGUUUACCUGGGGAGGGAAGACCUUCCCUGAAUGUGGGCAGUAUCCUAUUGGCUAAGGUUCUGAACUAAAUAAAUAAAACCAUGAAGAGAACCGAAAAAAAAAAUCUGAUACAAAAGACAUUUAAGACUGGGAAUGUAUACAUGCAAAGCCCUGAAUGUGGGAGAGGGGUGUGUGUGUGUGUGUGUGUGUGUGUGUGUGUGUGUGUGUGUACACCCCAAGUACUAUGAUUGCAGGCAUGUACCACCGUGCCUGGUUUAUUUACUAAGUUUCAUAGUCAGUACAAAGCAAUAUCUUGCUUAUUGGAUGUCUUCCUCUCUGUCUGUCUGUAUUUGAGAGUCUCAUUAUGUUGCCCUGACUGGCCUGGAUCUUACUG